GGGGAUAGCUCAGUGGUAGAGCACAUGCUUAGCAUGCACAAGGUCCUGGGUUCAAUCCCCAGGACCUCCA
rnacentral:tRNA from 1 species